rnacentral:rRNA from 1 species
AUUGAACGCUGGCGGCAUGCCUUACACAUGCAAGUCGAACGGUAACAGGUUAAGCUGACGAGUGGCGAACGGGUGAGUAAUAUAUCGGAACGUGCCCAGUCGUGGGGGAUAACGUAGCGAAAGCUACGCUAAUACCGCAUACGAUCUACGGAUGAAAGCGGGGGAUCGCAAGACCUCGCGCGAUUGGAGCGGCCGAUAUCAGAUUAGGUUGUUGGUGAGGUAAAAGCUCACCAAGCCUGCGAUCUGUAGCUGGUCUGAGAGGACGACCAGCCAAACUGGAACGGAGACACGGUCCAGACUCCUACGGGAGGCAGCAGUGGGGAAUUUUGGACAAUGGACGCAAGUCUGAUCCAGCAAUGCCGCGUGCAGGACGAAGGCCUUCGGGUUGUAAACUGCUUUUGUACGGAACGAAACGGUGAGCUCUAAUACAGUUUGCUAAUGACGGUACCGUAAGAAUAAGCACCGGCUAACUACGUGCCAGCAGCCGCGGUAA